rnacentral:rRNA from 1 species
UGGGGAAUAUUGGACAAUGGGCGCAAGCCUGAUCCAGCCAUGCCGCGUGAGUGAUGAAGGCUCUAGGGUUGUAAAGCUCUUUCACCGGUGAAGAUAAUGACGGUAACCGGAGAAGAAGCCCCGGCUAACUUCGUGCCAGCAGCCGCGGUAAUACGAAGGGGGCUAGCGUUGUUCGGAUUUACUGGGCGUAAAGCGCACGUAGGCGGACUAUUAAGUCAGGGGUGAAAUCCCGGGGCUCAACCCCGGAACUGCCUUUGAUACUGGUAGUCUUGAGUUCGAGAGAGGUGAGUGGAAUUCCGAGUGUAGAGGGGAAAUUCGUAGAUAUUCGGAGGAACACCAGUGGCGAAGGCGGCUCACUGGCUCGAUACUGACGCUGAGGUGCGAAAGCGUGGGGAGCAAACAGG